rnacentral:misc_RNA from 1 species
UCCGAGUUGUCCCCGGCAGUCUCCUUAGAGUCCCCUGCAUUACCCGCUGGCAACUAAGGACAGGGGUUGCGCUCGUUGCGGCACUUAAGCCAACACCUCACGGCACGAGCUGACGACAGCCAUGCACCACCUGUGCACUGGCCCCGAAGGGCUGCCGGGUUUCCCCGACAUUCCAGUGCAUGUCAAGCCCAGGUAAGGUUCUUCGCGUUGCGUCGAAUUAAGCCACAUGCUCCACCGCGUGUGCGGGCCCCCGCCAAUUCCUUUGAGUUUUAAUCUUGCGACCGUACUCCCCAGGCGGAAUGCUUAAAGCGUUAGCUGCGCCACUGACGAGCAAGCUCGCCAACGGCUGGCAUUCAUCGUUUACGGCGUGGACUAC